rnacentral:rRNA from 1 species
GACGAACGCUGGCGGCGUGCCUAAUACAUGCAAGUCGAGCGCUGAAGCUUGGAGCUUGUGCCGAUUGGGUUAGCGGCGGACGGGUGAGUAACGCGUGGGGAAUCUGCCUUUUAGCCGGGGACAACAUCGGGAAACGACUGCUAAUACCGCAUAAUAACUUUAACCACAAGUUUCAAGUGUGAAAGAUGCAAUUGCAUCACUCAAAAGUGAUCCCGGGUUUAAUUAGCUAGUUGGGUAGGAAAAGGCCCACCAAGGCAAGCAUACGUAGCCGCCCUGAAAGGGUGUUGGCCAACACGGGAACUGAGACACGGUCCAGACUCCUACGGGAGGAAGAGGUGGGGAAUUUUGGCAAAUGGGCGAAAGCCUGACGCAGCAAGCCCGGGGGGUUGAGGAAGGUCUUCGGUUUGAAAACCCUGUUUGUAGGGAAAGAAGAGCGGGAGAGUGAAAAGCGCAUCAAGUGACGGUACCUAACCAGAAAGCGACGGCUAACUACGUG